UGGGAACCUAUUUGCUGCGUGAUACGUGACGCUUAUGGAACUUGCUCAACACAGAUCCCGUAUGUUUUAGGCUUCAGAUGUUGAAUCAUAACCUUCAACAGCUGAAAGAGGUCGUACCAGGGCGUGUCUAAUUUGACUGGCAGCAUCUCUGAUCUGGUGCAGUCCUCAUUCACCUUCAGAAACCAGUGGGUGGUAUCACUGAGACUUCACUCAUAUUCUUACAGUCGUUGGAUUUGUGUGGCCAAAAUACACAAGUAAGGUCAUCCCUUUGUUUGUCCAUACCUGUCAGCCUAUAAGUGGGCUUUUAAAUCUCUUUAUAUUAAUGUUUUCAUGACCUUAACACACAUUCAAAUAUCAAACAGAGGGCGGAGUCUGAAACUGGCUUCAGCGGGGUCCCAAAGCUCCUAUUGUGAUGUAUUUGGCUUCAGACCAACCUGGAGUUUAAUGAAUUUGAGCCGGUGAUAUAUAUGAGUACAACCCAAUGACAUGCAUGUGUUGCAUUCACAUUAGGGAUCUUAAAAUGCAGGACAGAGAGACAUUAAACGCCUCGCUGAAUUGCGGAGAGGACAAAUAAAACAGCGACAAAUUUUAUCAGGGGUCAAAGGUUACCCACUCAUGCACACAUGCUUGUGAAGUUACUUUUAUUUAUGAAGUUCUUCAGCGCUGAGACACUUUAAUGGACCGAUCAAUAAACCAAAGUCAACAAAGAUUUUAACGUCUGAUUUAUUGAUUAAUAACAAACAUUUAGCUUUAUGGCUUUAGCUCCUGUCCACUGUGUGAGACAAAUAACUCCAUGUUUAGUAUAAACACCAUAAAUAAAAAUGGCAGCUGUCAUCUUAAUGCAGCGUUUUAUUCCUCCACCGCAUCCGUCCGUCCUGUUCUCUUAUCUGCCAUUCAAUAUUUUCAUGAUGAUACAGGCGGUGCAAUCAAACAGCAUUUGUCGUAAGUGAGCGGGGCGUCUCAUGGAGUACAAAGGCAGAGCAGAUGAAAUGAAAUUGUUAUUGAACCUCAGUGAGAGUAACAGAGGAGCCGCCGUGCUGAAGAGAUGAUUUGUAGGUGGCAGAAAUGAGUCUGCAGGAUUUAAUCUGCUCAUUAUUUUGUUACAGAAGUCUCGAUUUGUCUGCAGUGGCAUAAUAAUCAUGAAAUAAACUCACAGAAAUACAAAAACCAUUAUUUUCAGUCUGUUAAUUUAUCCUGAGAAUAAAAGUGAAAAUAUGGUUUUAUGAAGACAUCCAUGUUGGAGUCUGGUGUCCUUGAAAUACCUCACUUUUUCUCUCUUUUUUUUUUCCACAGUGAAUCUGCAAAAGCUACAAACUCUCUUUGCUGAGCACCAGUUUCAUGCUCCAUAUUGGAGUUAUGUUCAAAUGCAUUGUCUGGAUCUUAUGAAUUACAUUUAACUAACUCCACACAAGCAUAAAACAAAGUGGAGACUUGGUCUCUUUUACUCUGUUUGAAGCACUUGAGUGUAAAGUGAAUAAUCUUCUUGCAUGUACCAACUGCGCACUGCAGCACAGCUUUAUCAUGUUGCUUUGUGUUCUCAAAAGGUUGAAUGUUAAAUGCAUGAUUAAACUAACUCUAAUCAGAAAAGGGCAGGGCUCGUAUUCUGCUCCUCGUCCACAGGCAGAAGAUUUCUCACGAGGCUAAUACUGUGCAGCCAGACUGUGUCGAGCACAGAUCUUAGGGGGGGCAUUAAAGGUCCUCAGAGCACAGUGACUCCAUUAUUUGAAGUUAGGAACUACAACUAACCUAUAGGCCAAAAUGAAGCAUAGCGUUAGUUCUGGCAGGUCACGACGUCAAGCGCUGAUCUGUAGCCAUUGAAAAGGUAGCCACCUCAACCAGUUGAUGGCCCAGCUGAUUUCCUCCUAGCUCCUAUUGGUCUUAUGCUUUUAGAGCGCCCUAUUUAAAACUGCCCUAACCCAGCCUCUUCCUCUGCUUCGACAGGCAACCAGCAACCCACCUCCACCCUUGUGCCAGCUAAACUGCUCCACUUCUCUCAAAGCGUGCCUGUUCCGGGGGGCUCUGUUCUGCCUUCAUGAUGCCUCAUGAAGGACGGGAAGGUGUCCUUCCUGCCGCAGGCCUUUCACGCAUGCUUGUCUGAAGAACGGGGGCCCCGAACAGAACCUUGUGUGCGCUCCCUGCUUUUGCCUUUUCAUGAUGGCUCAUGAAGGACAGGAAGGGGCUCUUCCUGCCUCUGGCUUCCACGCAAGCGCAUGGAAGGGCAGGGACCCAGAACAGAACUAUGCCGCCAAAUUUAAUUUUGCACAAUAAAGCUGAAUUUUGACAAGUGUUCCUGACUGAACUUAAUGUUUGAGGAAGAAGGCCUUGACCAUGAACCAGGUAGUCACUCUAACAAAACUCUUUGAGUCCUCUCUGAAGAUGGGAUAACCUUCCUAAAAGUCAGCCAUAUCUGCAGCACUCCACCAAUAAGACCUAAACUAACCAAAAGGCACAAGACGGUCCACUUGGUCCCAAAAAGCAACUCUUUUGGUCUAAGGAAACCAAAAAUGACCUCUUUGGACUAAAAACCAAGAAUCAUGUCUGAAGGAAACCAGGCACUGUUCAUCUACUCACCAAUGCCGCCACCACUGGGACCUCAGAACUGGGUAAAGGUCCACCAUCCUACAGGACCAAAAACCUGGGCACACUAAUGAUAACAAUGAAGAGGCUUCAGUGCAAAUCUGAAGUCCACGUCUUAACUCAUUUAAACUGGGACAGCAUGUACGCAUUUCAACCUUCCAAGCCAGGAGUGCGGCUGCGCAUUUCUACUCGGAAAGCCGGGUGCAUGUCCGCAUUUCCGUAAGAAGCUUGUACGUCAUUUCGUAACAUUCUGUAGUUUUUCAAUUACUUCUGGAGUCGUGGUGAAUCAAAUCAUCAUACUGCCUCUGAUAGGCUAAUAAAGCUUACAAAAGCAAUCGGAUUCAUGCUCUGAUCUUGCUACGUGCUAUGUGAGGAAAGUAAACAGCCGCUUUAUUUCAUUUGAGUUUGUUUGUUCAAAGGUUUUCAAUAAUGUCUUGAAAACUCAAUCAAUCGAUCGAAGUUUGGCCCAAAUGUGGGGUGAUUUUCUUUAGAUAAACUGCAGGAAAAAAAGGGUGUUUUUUACACUAAGACAUUGAAACAUCAAACCAAGGAUUAAUAAACACGAGAAUUAAACAGGGAGUUCCUGUAUUUCUUGAGUCUGGGCUCUGAUUUUUCCAGAAUAUCCUCCGCUGAGUCGACAUGAUAUUGAGUGUCGAUGCAGGACUGUGUGAGGGAUGUUGACAGGCAGCUCGGCCUCAUAACUCAGGUGAGCAGGUGUGCAGCCAUCAUCAAUUCUUCAUUAUAACAAAUAGAGGAACACUUGAAGAGGAGCAGCGCGGCACAAUUAUACAUUACAGGGAAAAUAGCUCCCAGUGGCUUUAUGUAAGUGAAACACAGCUGACAGGGACCAGUGUGUGUGUGUGUGUGUUUGUGUUUAUGUCUAAGUGUGUUUUUGAGUCUCUUCUGUUAAACACUCCAGUCUAUUUUCUUCUCAUUUCCUCGACCUCUUUUCUCUCUCCUAUUUUCUUUUUAGGGCCCGAGCGUAGCUGCUAAGCAGCUGCGAGAGCCCUCUUGUUCCUGUAGUUUCCUUCUUUUUAGGGCCCGAGCCAGCUGCAGAGCAGCCGGGCGUAGAGCCCUAUUAUUCCCCAAGUGGUUUUUCUUUGUUUCUUUAGGGCCCGAGCGUAGCUGCUAAGCAGCUGCGAGAGCCCUCUUGUUCCUGCAUGUUUCCUUCUUUUGUUAUUAUUAUUAUUUUUCCUCCCCUUUAAACUGGAAAAUGGCCCACUUCCCACUGGCGAAAACUCAUGAAAUUUGGCAGGACGACCAGGCCUGGUGAAAAAUUUGAUAUUCUGAAGUCGCCCAAACAAUAAAAUGCAAAAUGGCUCCAUAGCGCCCCCUAAGGUGGAAAUUCACACUAUUGACUGUCACGCCUGUACGCUUUGUCAAAAUGACACAAAAUUUGACACACAUAUGUAUCUCAAUAAGAUCUACAAAAAAGUCAGUGCGGGCGUAUCUGUCAAAUGUACGGUUAAAGGGCUAUUUCGCAUUUUUUGGCGAUCCGUACACAUUGGAAUUUCGCUAACUCCUCCGAAGGCUUUCGUUCCACCGGCACCACAUUUGCUCAGGCCAAUCUACACCCCAUGGCCAUUAAAAGUUAUUCAAAUCAUGACGCUGCACCCCACGGUUUAGGUUCUAGGGGGCGCCAAAGAUAACCCUAAAAUCCACAUAUUUAAAAGUCUUAUAACUUUUUAUUUUUGUCCUCACUGGCCUCCAAGUUUUCUAGGAUGAUGCAAUGUCCAGCCAUCAACACAUUUGUGAAGGAAUUUUUACUCCCCAAAAGAGCGCCCCCCCAUGGCAGGAGAAAAAAGUCCAUUUUUUCUUGUCCCCUAAGGUGAAAAUACACAUUGUUGAGUGUCACGCCUCUACACUUUGUCAAAAUGACACAAAAUUUGGCACACAGGUGUAUCUCAAUAAGAUCUACGAAAAAGUCAAUGCGGGCGUAUCUGUCAAAUGUACGGUUAAAGGGCUAUUUCGCAUUUUUUGGCGAUCCGUACACAUUGGAAUUUCGCUAACUCCUCCGAAGGCUUUUGUUCCACCGGCACCACAUUUGCUCAGGCCAAUCUACACCCCAUGGCCAUUAAAAGUUAUUCAAAUCAUGACGCUGCACCCCACGGUUUAGGUUCUAGGGGGCGCCAAAGAUAACCCUAAAAUCCACAUAUUUAAAAGUCUUAUAACUUUUUAUUUUUGUCCUCACUGGCCUCCAAGUUUUCUAGGAUGAUGCAAUGUCCAGCCAUCAACACAUUUGUGAAGGAAUUUUUACUCCCCAAAAGAGCGCCCCCCCAUGGCAGGAGAAAAAAGUCGAUUUUUUCUUGUCCCCUAAGGUGGAAAUUCACACUAUUGACUGUCACGCCUGUACGCUUUAUCAUAUUGACACAAAAAUUGACACACAUAUGUAUCUCAAUAAGAUCUACAAAAAAGUCAAUGCGCGCGUAUCUGUCAAAUGUACGGUUAAAGGGCUAUUUUGCAUUUUUUGCCGAUUCGCACACAUUGGAAUGUGGCUAACUCCUCCUAAGGCUUUCGUCCCACUGACACCAAAUUUGCUCAGGCCAAUCUACACCCCAUGGCCAUUCAAAGUUUUAAAAAUCAUGACGCUGCACCCCACGGUUUACGUUCUAGGGGGCGCCAAAGAUGACCCAAAAAUCCACAUUCUUAAAGGAAUCCACAUCCCCCCCCAAGGCAGGAGAAAAAGUCAAGUUAACCCUGCCCAUCGCUCAAUGGCUCAAUCGCAUCGCUCUCCAGGCAACACCGUAAGGAGGAUUAACCUGCCAUUUCGAUAUAUCAUAGCUGUGUUUGUGCCCUCACUCAUGGUCCAGACUUUUUUCAAAUAGGACAUGAAGUUUGUCUGCAGCGAGUGUUUUGGUAGAAACUGCGCCUCCCAUUCAUUAUAAUGGGAAAUGACCACAGACAAGUGCGCACACCAUCUUUGGACCUUGAGUGUGACGCGAUCGGGAGGGGGAGGCGGUCGCGCUAGGGGCGGCGCGACGCGGCUCGGGCCCGACAGUGCCCCACCGGGGCCCUAGUUAUUAUUAGGGCCCGAGCCAGCUGCAGAGCAGCCGGGCGUAGGCCCUGUUAUUCCUGUAGGGGUUUUUAGGGCCCGAGCGUAGCUGCUAAGCAGCUGCGAGAGCCCUCUUGUUAGGGCCCGAGCGUAGCUGCUAAGCAGCUGCGAGAGCCCUCUUGUUCCUGUAGUUUCCUUCUUUUGUUAUUAUUAUUAUUAUUAUUAUUUUUCCUCCCCUUUGAACUGGAAAAUGGCCCACUUCCCACUGGCGAAAACUCAUGAAAUUUGGCAGGACGACCGGGCCUGGUGAAAAAUUUGAUAUUCCGAAGUCACCCAAACAAGAAAAUGCAAAAUGGCUCCAUAGCGCCCCCUAAGGUGAAAAUUCACACUAUUCACUGUCACGCCUGUACGCUUUGUCAAAAUGACACAAAAAUUGACACACACAUGUAUCUCAAUAAGAUCUACAAAAAAGUCAGUGCGGGCGUAUCUGUCAAAUGUACGGUUAAAGGGUUAUUUCGCAUUUUUUGCCGAUCCGCACACAUUGGAAUUUCGCUAACUCCUCCGAAGGCUUUCGUUCCACCGGCACCACAUUUGCUCAGGCCAAUCUACACCCCAUGGCCAUUAAAAGUUAUUCAAAUCAUGACGCUGCACCCCACGGUUUAGGUUCUAGGGGGCGCCAAAGAUAACCCUAAGAUCCACAUAUUUAAAAGUCUUAUAACUUUUUAUUUUUGCCCUCACUGGCCUCCAAGUUUUCUAGGAUGAUGCAAUGUCCAGCCAUCAACACAUUUGUGAAGGAAUUUUUACUCCCCAAAAGAGCGCCCCCCAUGGCAGGAGAAAAAAGUCCAUUUUUUCUUGUCCCCUAAGGUGAAAAUACACAUUGUUGAGUGUAACACCUGUACGCUUUGGCAAAAUGACACAAAAAUUGACACACACAUGUAUCUCAAUAAGAUCUACGAAAAAGUCAAUGCGCGCGUAUCUGUCAAAUGUACGGUUAAAGGGUUAUUCCGCAUUUUUUGCCGAUCCGCACACAUUGGAAUUUCGCUAACUCCUCCGAAGGCUUUCGUUCCACCGGCACCACAUUUGCUCAGGCCAAUCUACACCCCAUGGCCAUUAAAAGUUAUUCAAAUCAUGACGCUGCACCCCACGGUUUAGGUUCUAGGGGGAGCCAAAGAUAACCCUAAAAUCCACAUAUUUAAAAGUCUUAUAACUUUUUAUUUUUGUCCCCACUGGCCUCCAAGUUUUCUAGGAUGAUGCAAUGUCCAGCCAUCAACACAUUUGUGAAGGAAUUUUUACUCGGCAAAAGAGCGCUCCCCCAUGGCAGGAGAAAAAAGUCAAUUUUUUCUUGUCCACUAAGGUGAAAAUACACAUUGUUGAGUGCUACGCCUGUAUGUUUUGUCGUAUUGACACAAAAUUUUACAUACACGUGUAUUUCAAUAAGAUCUUCGAAAAAGUCAAUGGCCACGUAUCUGUAAAAUGUACGGUUAAAGGGUUAUUUCGCAUUUUUUGCAGAUUCGCACACAUUGGAAUUUCGCUAAUUCCUCCGAAGGCUUUCGUUCCACCGGCACCACAUUUGCUCAGGCCAAUCUACACCCCAUGGCCAUUAAAAGUUAUUCAAAUCAUGAUGCUGCACCCCACAGUUUAGGUUCUAGGGGGCGCCAAAUAUAACCCUAAAAUCCACAUAUUUAAAAGUCUUAUAACUUUUUAUUUUUGUCCUCACUGGCCUCCAUGUUUUCUAGGAUGAUGCAAUGUCCAGCCAUCAACACAUUUGUGAAGGAGUUUUUUCUCUUUAAAAGAGCGCCCCCCCAUGGCAGGAGAAUAAAGUCAAGUUUUUCCUGUUCAUCAUUCAAUGGCUCAAACGCACUGCUCUCUCGGCAAAAGCGAAAGGAGGAGCAACUUGCCAUUUGGAUAUAUCUUAGCUGUGUUUGUGCCCUCACUCAUGGUCCAGACUUUUUUCAAAUAGGACAUGGAGUUUUUCUGCAGCGAGCGUUUUGGUAGUAACUGUGCCUCCCGUUCAUUAUAAUGGUAAAUGACCACAAACAAGUGCGCACACCAUCUUUGGACCUUGAGUGUGACGCGAUCGGGUGGGGGAGGCGGUCGCGCUGGGGGCGGCGUGACACGGCUCGGGCCCGCCAGUGCCCCAACGGGGCCCUAGUUCCUGCAUGUUUCCUUCUUUUGUUAUUAUUAUUAUUUUUCCUCCCCUUUGAACUGGAAAAUGGCCCACUUCCCACUGGCGAAAACUCAUGAAAUUUGGCAGGACGACCGGGCCUGGUGAAAAAUUUGAUAUUCCGAAGUCGCCCAAACAAGAAAAUGCAAAAUGGCUCCAUAGCGCCCCCUAAGGUGAAAAUUCACACUAUUGACUGUCACGCCUGUACGCUUUGUCAUAUUGACACAAAAAUUGACACACGUAUGUAUCUCAAUAAGAUCUACAAAAAAGUCAGUGCGGGCGUAUCUGUCAAAUGUACGGUUAAAGGGUUAUUUCGCAUUUUUUGCCGAUCCGCACACAUUGGAAUUUCGCUAACUCCUCCGAAGGCUUUCGUUCCACCGGCACCACAUUUGCUCAGGCCAAUCUACACCCCAUGGCCAUUAAAAGUUAUUCAAAUCAUGACGCUGCACCCCACGGUUUAGGUUCUAGGGGGCGCCAAAGAUAACCGUAAAAUCCACAUAUUUAAAAGUCUUAUAACUUUUUAUUUUUGCCCUCACUGGCCUCCAAGUUUUCUAGGAUGAUGCAAUGUCCAGCCAUCAACACAUUUGUGAAGGAAUUUUUACUCCCCAAAAGAGCGCCCCCCAUGGCAGGAGAAAAAAGUCCAUUUUUUCUUGUCCCCUAAGGUGAAAAUACACAUUGUUGAGUGUAACACCUGUAUGCUUUGGCAAAAUGACACAAAAAUUGACACACACAUGUAUCUCAAUAAGAUCUACGAAAAAGUCAUAGCGCGCGUAUCUGUCAAAUGUACGGUUAAAGGGUUAUUCCGCAUUUUUUGCCGAUCCGCACACAUUGGAAUUUCGCUAACUCCUCCGAAGGCUUUCGUUCCACCGGCACCACAUUUGCUCUGGCCAAUCUACACCCCAUGGCCAUUAAAAGUUAUUCAAAUCAUGACGCUGCACCCCACGGUUUAGGUUCUAGGGGGCGCCAAAGAUAACCGUAAAAUCCACAUAUUUAAAAGUCUUAUAACUUUUUAUUUUUGUCCCCACUGGCCUCCAAGUUUUCUAGGAUGAUGCAAUGUCCAGCCAUCAACACAUUUGUGAAGGAAUUUUUACUCGCCAAAAGAGCGCCCCCCAUGGCAGGAGAAAAAAGUCCAUUUUUUCUUGUCCACUAAGGUGAAAAUACACAUUGUUGAGUGCUACGCCUGUAUGUUUUGUCGUAUUGACACAAAAUUUUACAUACACGUGUCUUUCAAUAAGAUCUUCAAAAAAGUCAAUGGCCACGUAUCUGUCAAAUGUACGGUUAAAGGGUUAUUUCGCAUUUUUUGCAGAUUCGCACACAUUGGAAUUUCGCUAACUCCUCCGAAGGCUUUCGUUCCACCGGCACCACAUUUGCUCAGGCCAAUCUACACCCCGUGGCCAGUAAAAGUUAUCAAAAUCAUGACGCUGCACCCCAAGGUUUAGGUUCUAGGGGGCGCCAAAGAUAACCCUAAAAUCCACAUAUUUAAAAGUCUUAUAACUUUUUAUUUUUGUCCUCACUGGCCUCCAAGUUUUCUAGGAUGAUGCAAUGUCCAGCCAUCAACACAUUUGUGAAGGAAUUUUUACUCCCCAAAAGAGCGCCCCCCCAUGGCAGGAGAAAAAAGUCCAUUUUUUCUUGUCCCAUAAGGUGAAAAAACACAUUGUUGACUGUCAUACCUGUACGCUUUGUCAUAUUGACACAAAAUUUGACAAUCACAUGUAUCUCAAUAAGAUCUACGAAAAAGUCAAUGCGCGCGUAUCUGUAAAAUGUACGGUUAAAGGGCUAUUUUGCAUUUUUUGCCGAUUCGCACACAUUGGAAUGUGGCUAACUCCUCCUAAGGCUUUCGUCCCACUGACACCAAAUUUGCUCAGGCCAAUCUACACCCCAUGGCCAUUCAAAGUUGUAAAAAUCAUGACGCUGCACCUCACGGUUUACGUUCUAGGGGGCGCCAAAGAUGACCCAAAUAUCCACAUUCUUAAAAGAAUCCACAUCCCCCCCAUCCCCCAUCCCCCAUGGCAGGAGAAACAGUCAAGUUUUUCCUGCCCAUCACUCAAUGGCUCAAUCGCAUCACUCUCCCGGCAACACUGUAACGAGGAGCAACUUGCCGUUUGGAUAUAUCCUAGCUGUGUUUGUGCCCUCACUCAUGGUCCAGACUUUUUUCAAAUAGGACAUGUAGUUUGUCUGCAGCGAGUGUUUUGGUAGAAACUGCGCCUCCCAUUCAUUAUAAUGGGAAAUGACCACAGACAAGUGCGCACACCAUCUUUGGACCUUGAGUGUGACGCGAUCGGGAGGGGGAGGCGGUCGCGCUGGGGGCGGCGCAACGCGGCUCGGGCCCGACAGUGCCCCACCGGGGUCCUAGUUCUUUGUUAGGGCCCGAGCCAGCUGCAGAGCAGCCGGGCGUAGGCCCUAUUAUUCCCCAAGUGGUUUUUCUUUGUUUCUUUCUUUCUUUCUUUAGGGCCCGAGCGUAGCUGCUAAGCAGCUGCGAGAGCCCUCUUGUUCCUGUAGUUUCCUUCUUUUGUUAUUAUUAUUAUUUUUCCUCCCCUUUGAACUGGAAAAUGGCCCACUUCCCACUGGCGAAAACUCAUGAAAUUUGGCAGGACGACCGGGCCUGGUGAAAAAUUUGAUAUUCCGAAGUCGCCCAAACAAGAAAAUGCAAAAUGGCUCCAUAGCGCCCCCUAAGGUGAAAAUUCACACUAUUCACUGUCACGCCUGUACGCUUUGUCAAAAUGACACAAAAAUUGACACACACAUGUAUCUCAAUAAGAUCUACAAAAAAGUCAGUGCGGGCGUAUCUGUCAAAUGUACGGUUAAAGGGUUAUUUCGCAUUUUUUGCCGAUCCGCACACAUUGGAAUUUCGCUAACUCCUCCGAAGGCUUUCGUUCCACCGGCACCACAUUUGCUCAGGCCAAUCUACACCCCAUGGCCAUUAAAAGUUAUUCAAAUCAUGACGCUGCACCCCACGGUUUAGGUUCUAGGGGGCGCCAAAGAUAACCCUAAGAUCCACAUAUUUAAAAGUCUUAUAACUUUUUAUUUUUGCCCUCACUGGCCUCCAAGUUUUCUAGGAUGAUGCAAUGUCCAGCCAUCAACACAUUUGUGAAGGAAUUUUUACUCCCCAAAAGAGCGCCCCCCCAUGGCAGGAGAAAAAAGUCCAUUUUUUCUUGUCCCCUAAGGUGAAAAUACACAUUGUUGAGUGUAACACCUGUACGCUUUGGCAAAAUGACACAAAAAUUGACACACACAUGUAUCUCAAUAAGAUCUACGAAAAAGUCAAUGCGCGCGUAUCUGUUAAAUGUACGGUUAAAGGGUUAUUCCGCAUUUUUUGCCGAUCCGCACACAUUGGAAUUUCGCUAACUCCUCCGAAGGCUUUCGUUCCACCGGCACCACAUUUGCUCAGGCCAAUCUACACCCCAUGGCCAUUAAAAGUUAUUCAAAUCAUGACGCUGCACCCCACGGUUUAGGUUCUGGGGGGCGCCAAAGAUAACCGUAAAAUCCACAUAUUUAAAAGUCUUAUAACUUUUUAUUUUUGUCCCCACUGGCCUCCAAGUUUUCUAGGAUGAUGCA
rnacentral:lncRNA from 1 species